rnacentral:rRNA from 1 species
UACGUAGGGGGCAAGCGUUGUCCGGAAUUAUUGGGCGUAAAGGGUGCGUAGGCGGUUCGGUAAGUCUCAUGUGAAAUCUACAGGCUCAACUUGUAGUCUGCAUGAGAAACUGCCGGGCUUGAGCAUGGGAGAGGUGAGUGGAAUUCCUGGUGUAGCGGUGAAAUGCGUAGAUAUCAGGAGGAACACCUGUGGCGAAAGCGGCUCACUGGACCAUAACUGACGCUGAUGCACGAAAGCUAGGGGAGCAAACAGG